GAAUUUAUGAUUUAUAAAACCCAUGAGUGUUAACAAAGAAGAGUAUUACCUUCUUAACCACUGAAUUUUAGGUCAUUUGUUGUGCAGCAAUCCAUAAAUGGAACAAGUAAAUGAGCUUGUUAAGUAAUAAGGAAAAACAAAAACAAAAUGCAGCAAGAAAGAUGGAUCACAAAAAUGUGAGAUAAGCCAAAGGUGACCAUUUCUCCAAGUUGCAAAGAUUGAAUCCUGGAUUGGCGUCCAUCAAAUGCAGGAACGCAUUGCUCGUGGCUCAGUUGCUGUGGGCUGGGAGUCUCAGAAGCUCUCCUAAGCAGCUGCCUGCCUACUUUUGGCUGGAGGUGAGUUUCCAUCUCUCUCUGGCCCCGCCUCAGCUGGUGCCAAACAUGUUCCUGAUUGCCUCGGAAGAACUGCCUUUGAAAUUUAACAUUGGCAUUGGGAUAGACAGACAAGAAGAGACAAAGAAAAACCUUCCUAAGAGUUCACAGGAGGCCGGGCGCGGUGGCUCACGCCUGUAAUCCCAACACUUUGGGAGGCCGAGGCGGGUGGAUUACGAGGUCAGGAGAUCGAGACCAUCCUGGCUAAC
ensembl:lncRNA novel transcript